rnacentral:siRNA from 1 species
GAGAGCCGUUCCCAGUCCGUC